rnacentral:rRNA from 1 species
UACGUAGGGGCAAGCGUUGUCCGGAUUUAUUGGGCGUAAAGAGCGUGUAGGCGGCUAGGUAGGUCUGUUGUGAAAACUCGAGGCUCAACCUCGAGACGCCGAUGGAAACCAUCUAGCUAGAGUCCGGAAGAGGAGAGUGGAAUUCCUGGUGUAGCGGUGAAAUGACGCAGAUAUCAGGAAGAACACCCGUGGCUAAGGCGGCUCUCUAGUACGGUACUGACGCUGAGACGCGAAAGCGUGGGGAGCGAACAGG